ACUCAUCUCUGUGCUCACAGAUCCCCCCAUUCUGUGGCCAUCACUGAACACAGAAAGUACAUCAUGGAAGUCAGACUGAGUUGUGUUUUCUUUGUUGUAGUUUUACAAGGUGUCCAUUGUGAGGUGCACCUGUUGGAGUCAGGGGGUGGCUUGAUACAGCCUGAAAGUUCCCUAAAACUCUCCUGUGCAGGCUCUGGAUUCAUUUUCAGCAAUGCUUGGAUGAACUGGGUUCGGCAGGCUCCAGGGAAGGGGAUGGAGUGGGUUGCACAAAUUGGAAACAAAGCUAAUAAUUAUGCAACUUACUAUGGAGACUCUGUAAAUGGCAGAUUCACCAUCUUAAGGGAUGACUCCAAAAGCAGCAUCUACCUGCAAAUGAACAGCUUAAGAGCUGAAGACACCGCCAUUUAUUACUGUGCAAGACACACAGUGAGAGAACUUCAGUGUGAGCCCUAA